rnacentral:rRNA from 1 species
CAUGCAAGUCAUGGGGGCCCGCAAGGGCAACCGGCGAACGGGUGCGUAACACGUGAGCAACCUACCGAUUUGUGGGGGAUAGCCGGCCUAACGGCCGGGUAAUACCGCAUAUGAUGAUCGGCCCGCAUGGGCCGAUCAUCAAAGUCCUAUGGACACGAAUCGAGGGGCUCGCGGCCUAUCAGCUACUUGGCGAGGUCACGGCUCACCAAGGCGACGACGGGUAGCUGGUCUGAGAGGAUGGCCAGCCACAUUGCGACUGAGAAACGGCCCAGACUCCUACGGGAGGCAGCGGUGGGGAAUCUUGCGCAAUGGACGAAAGUCUGACGCAACGACGCCGCGUGGGGGAUGAAGGCUUUCGGGUUGUAAACCCCUGUUGCCCGGGACGAACUUCUCCUUNNAGGAUAUUGACGGUACCGGGUGAUGAAGCACCGGCUAACUCUGUGCCAGCAUCCGCGGUAAUACAGAGGGUGCGAGCGUUUGUCCGGAAUCACUGGGCGUUAUGGGCGCGUAGGUGGCUUCCUUAGUUAAUGUUGAAAUGCUCUUCACUCU